rnacentral:rRNA from 1 species
CGGACCAAGGAGUCUAACGUGCGCGCGAGUCGCGGGGUGUCGAGCGGUUGGCGGCGUUCCUUGUGGGCGUCGUCGGCCGUUCGUUACAAUACGAAACCCGUCUCGUUUUACGAAAGGCGCAAUGAAAGUGAAUUUUUUUGGGGAAGAUGACGUUACCGAGUUCACGUUUCGCGCUCUUGUAGCGCGGCCGGUCGUCCGCAUUCCCAGGGCGUCUCAACGGCCCGGCGGCGUUGCGGAUCGUCGUUCCUUCGGGGGCGGUGGUCGGGCGUCGUCGAACCGAGGCGCACCUAUAGCGUGCACGUUGGUACCCGAAAGAUGGUGAACUAUGCCCGGCCAGGAUGAAGUCAGGGGAAACCCUGAUGGAGGUCCGCAGCGAUUCUGACGUGCAAAUCGAUCGUCUGAGCUGGGUAUAGGGGCGAAAGACUAAUCGAACCAUCUAGU